CGCCCUUAGAGUUUGAUCAUGGCUCAGAUUGAACGCUGGCGGCAGGCCUAACACAUGCAAGUCGAACGGUAAGAGAGCUUGCUCUUGACGAGUGGCGGACGGGUGAGUAAUGUCUGGGAAACUGCCCGAUGGAGGGGGAUAACUACUGGAAACGGUAGCUAAUACCGCAUAACGUCUUCGGACCAAAGUGGUUCGUCACACCAUCGGAUGUGCCCAGAUGGGAUUAGCUAGUAGGUGGGGUAAAGGCUCACCUAGGCGACGAUCUCUAGCUGGUCUGAGAGGAUGACCAGCCACACUGGAACUGAGACACGGUCCAGACUCCUACGGGAGGCAGCAGUGGGGAAUAUUGCACAAUGGGCGCAAGCCUGAUGCAGCCAUGCCGCGUGUAUGAAGAAGGCCUUAGGGUUGUAAAGUACUUUCAGCGGGGAGGAAGGCGAUGCGUAAUCGCGUCGAUUGACGUUACCCGCAGAAGAAGCACCGGCUAACUCCGUGCCAGCAGCCGCGGUAA
rnacentral:rRNA from 1 species